GCUCAGAAUCAACGCUGGCGGCGUGCCUAACACAUGCAAGUCGAACGCGAACGUUCCUUCGGGGGCAAGUAGAGUGGCGACCGGGUGAGUAACACGUAGGUAAUCUGCCUCCGGGUGGGGAAUAACACCUCGAACGAGGUGCUAAUACCGCAUAAUGCAGCGGCACCUAAUGGUGAUUAGUUGUUAACGCGGGGGAUCGCAAGACCUCGCGCCUGGAGAGGAGUCUGCGGCCGAUUAGCUAGUUGGUGAGGUAACGGCUCACCAAGGCAUCGUCAGGUAGCUGGUCUGAGAGGACGGCCAGGGACCCUGGCACUGAACCACGGGCCAGACUCCUACGGGAGGCAGCAGUGGGGAAUUUUGGGCAAUGGGCGCAAGCCUGACCAAGCAACGCCGCGUGAGGGAGGAACUCCUUCGGGAUGUAACCAUCGCAAGCAGGGGAAGAGUGCUUUCGACCUAAUACGUUGAACGAGGGACGGUACCAUGCGUAAGCCACGGCUAACUACGUGCCAGCAGCCGCGGUAAUACGUAGGUGGCAAGCGUUGUUCGGAAUUACUGGGCGUAACGGGCGCGUAGGCGGCUUGUUAAGUCGGCUGUGAACGCCAGGGGCUCAACCACGGAGGGUCGGCCGAUACUGGCGAGUUGGAGUACGGAAGAGGUAGCUGGAAUUCCAGGUGUAGCGGUGAACUGCGUAGAUAUCGGGAGGAACACCAGAGGCGAACGCGGGCUACUGGGCCGAUACUGACGCUGAUGCGCGAACGCCAGGGGAGCAACCGGGAUUAGAUACCACGGUAGUCCUGGCCAUAACCGAUGGACACUUGGUGUGUCGG
rnacentral:rRNA from 1 species